UACGUAGGAUGCGAGCGUUAUCCGGAAUCAUUGGGCGUAAAGCGUCCGCAGGUGGAACGGUGUGUCGAGUGUUAAAUACCAGUGCUCAACAUUGGUGCCACACUCGAAACUGCCGAUCUAGAGGAUGGGAGAGGCAAACAGAAUUCCCGGUGUAGGGGUAAAAUCCGUAGAUAUCGGGAGGAAUACCAAAAGCGAAGGCAGUUUGCUGGAACAUUCCUGACACUCAUGGACGAAAGCGUGGGGAGCGAAAAGG
rnacentral:rRNA from 1 species